rnacentral:rRNA from 1 species
UAACGCGAAGAACCUUACCAGGUCUUGACAUCUUCUGAUAACCUAAGAGAUUAGGUGUUCCCUUCGGGGACAGAAUGACAGGUGGUGCAUGGUUGUCGUCAGCUCGUGUCGUGAGAUGUUGGGUUAAGUCCCGCAACGAGCGCAACCCUUAUUGUCAGUUGCCAGCAUUAAGUUGGGCACUCUGGCAAGACUGCCGGUGACAAACCGGAGGAAGGUGGGGAUGACGUCAAAUCAUCAUGCCCCUUAUGACCUGGGCUACACACGUGCUACAAUGGACGAUACAACGAGUCGCUAGACCGCGAGGUUAAGCUAAUCUCUGAAAGUCGUUCUCAGUUCGGAUUGCAGGCUGCAACUCGCCUGCAUGAAGUCGGAAUCGCUAGUAAUCGCGGAUCAGC